UACGUAGGGUGCAAGCGUUAAUCGGAAUUACUGGGCGUAAAGCGUGCGCAGGCGGUUUUGUAAGACGGAUGUGAAAUCCCCGGGCUCAACCUGGGAACUGCAUUCGUGACUGCAAGGCUAGAGUAUGGCAGAGGGGGGUAGAAUUCCACGUGUAGCAGUGAAAUGCGUAGAGAUGUGGAGGAAUACCGAUGGCGAAGGCAGCCCCCUGGGCCAAUACUGACGCUCAUGCACGAAAGCGUGGGGAGCAAACAGG
rnacentral:rRNA from 1 species